GGCAGGCUUAACACAUGCAAGUCGAGGGGCAGCGGGGUAGCAAUACUGCCGGCGACCGGCGCACGGGUGCGUAACGCGUAUGCAACUUACCUCUAACUUGGGGAUAGCCCGGAGAAAUUCGGAUUAAUACCCAAUAAGAUUGCAGAAUGGCAUCAUUUAGCAAUUAAAACUCCGGUGGUUAGAGAUAGGCAUGCGUGCCAUUAGUUAGUUGGUGAGGUAACGGCUCACCAAGACUAUGAUGGCUAGGGGGUCUGAGAGGAUGAUCCCCCACACUGGUACUGAGACACGGACCAGACUCCUACGGGAGGCAGCAGUGAGGAAUAUUGGUCAAUGGGCGCAAGCCUGAACCAGCCAUGCCGCGUGCAGGAUGAAGGUUUUAUGAAUUGUAAACUGCUUUUGUACGGGACGAACCAUGGGCACGUGUGCCCAUCUGACGGUACUGUAUGAAUAAGCAUCGGCUAACUCCGUGCCAGCAGCCGCGGUAAUACGGAGGAUGCAAGCGUUAUCCGGAUUCAUUGGGUUUAAAGGGUGUGUAGGCGGAAUAUUAAGUCAGUGGUGAAAUCCUGCGGCUCAACCGUAGAACUGCCAUUGAUACUGAUGUUCUUGAAUGUAGUUGAAGUGGGCGGAAUGUAUAAUGUAGCGGUGAAAUGCUUAGAUAUUAUACAGAACACCGAUUGCGAAGGCAGCUCACUAAACUAAUAUUGACGCUGAGGCACGAAAGCGUGGGGAUCAAACAGGAUUAGAUACCCUUGUAGUCCACGCCGUAAACGAUGAUUACUCGUUGUGUGCACUACACCGCACGCGACUGAGCGAAAGCAUUAAGUAAUCCACCUGGGGAGUACGAUCGCAAGAUUGAAACUCAAAGGAAUUGACGGGGGCCCGCACAAGCGGAGGAACAUGUGGUUUAAUUCGAUGAUACGCGAGGAACCUUACCUAGACUUAAAUGUAGAUUGACCGGUGCCGAAAGGUGCUUUCUCUUCGGAGCAAUUUACAAGGUGCUGCAUGGUUGUCGUCAGCUCGUGCUGUGAGGUGUCGGGUUAAGUCCCAUAACGAGCGCAACCCCUAUCAUUAGUUGCCAGCGGGUAAUGCCGGGAACUCUAAUGAGACUGCCAGCGUAAGCUGUGAGGAAGGUGGGGAUGACGUCAAAUCAGCACGGCCCUUACGUCUAGGGCUACACACGUGUUACAAUGGUCGGUACAAAGGGCAGCUACUUGGUGACAAGAUGCUAAUCUCUAAAACCGGUCUCAGUUCGGAUUGAAGUCUGCAACUCGACUUCAUGAAGUUGGAUUCGCUAGUAAUCGUAUAUCAGCAAUGAUACGGUGAAUACGUUCCCGGGCCUUGUACACACCGCCCGUCAAGCCAUGGAAGCCAAGGGUACCUGAAGUUCGUGACCGCAAGGAGCGACCUAGGGUAAAAUUGGUGACUGGGGCUAAGUCGUAACAAGGUA
rnacentral:rRNA from 1 species